UGAAAUGUGUUGUUAUUUCAGACAAAAGCAAUGUCUUGACAUAUUUCGGCAUCUGAUGGAUGGGUUUCUAUUAAAUGCAGUGGUUGUUCCUGUGCCGAAAGCAGCCAUGGCCAAGCCAAGUCUAGCUCCUGUAACAGCUUCCAACAAGCUGUCCAUCGAGCAGAAGCUAAUGGCUUCAUGGACUGCCAAGAGGAGAACUUACCGCAGAUGCUAAACAGUGGUGACCAACAAAUCGGACAAGAUGCUGAAAUAUGUCAACCUGUCGAUCUCCAAGCUCUACGGUCCUCUGUGGGGACUAACCAAGUCCAACGACUCGGAUGUGUUCCCUUCCUGGAUCUAAUCCUUACCUUCAGGGAAGAGCCUCGGGUUUGUGUACAUCCAUACUUUGCCUCUAGUGGACAUCUCCAUUCUCAAGCUACACUUUGGCAUAGGAAGAUACUCCAGCUUCAUAUGUAAUUGCACAGUUUUUCUGGGUUUCAGGGAUGUAAAGGAUUGUGCAGCAAUACCUAUUGGAUACGGCCUU